rnacentral:rRNA from 1 species
GUGGUCGUGCAAUGUGGUGUUCGGGAGGGCUCUGUUCGUGUCCGGUUUUGGUCCAAGUCUCCUGGAAAGGAGUUCCAUGGAGGGUGACAGGCCCGUGCGACCAACAACCGUGUUCGCGGACGAGUCCUCCUUCGAGUCGGGUUGUUCGCUAAUGCAGCCCUAAGCAGGUGGUAAGCUCCAUCUAAAGCUAAAUAUAACCACGAGUCCGAUAGUCAACAAGUACAGUGAUGGAAAGUUGAAAAGUACUCUGAAGAGAGAGUCAAAUAGCCCGUGAAGCUGCCAGUAUGGGAUUAAGCGCACGUGCGGCGCGUGUCGUCGGACAAAUAGGCGACUGCUGUGCGUACGGCUGGUGUGGUGUGCGUCUUGAUCGGCGUGCAUUGCACUGGUGUCGGUGCGUGCCGCGGAACGCUUCCCUUUGUUCGGCAUUGACAGGUCGGGGCCUCGUUGUCCAUGGUCUUAUUGCCGGCGGUGAUCUGCAGAGCCGUGUCGGGCGGUCGUCGGCUUCGGUCGAUGGCCGUGCUCCGCUGAAUGUGGUCCUUUGCGGACGCAGCGGCCGGCUUGGUCUGCAGUGCAAUGCUGUCGCGAUUGCGAACGACUGGACGACGGCCAACGCAUUCGAAUCUCACGAUUCGGCUCGGCCUUUGCGCUGUCACGUGCGGCCCGUCUUGAAACACGGACCAAGGAGUCUAACAUGUGAGCGAGCGAUUGAGAUUGUCGAAUCUCAAACGCGCAAUGAAAGUGAAGUGUCGUCUGACGGCACGAGCGGUGAUCUGUCGUCACUUUUGGGGGCGGCAGCGCAACCGCGGGCCGCGCCAUGGGCUGGCUUGCUUCCUUGUGGAGCACUGCUCAGGCGCGGACCUAGAGCCCAC